rnacentral:rRNA from 1 species
AUACGUAGGGGGCGAGCGUUGUCCGGAAUGAUUGGGCGUAAAGGGCGCGUAGGCGGCCCGGUAAGUCUGGAGUGAAAGUCCUGUUUUUAAGAUGGGAAUUGCUUUGGAUACUGUCGGGCUUGAGUGCAGGAGCGGGAAGUGGAAUUCCCAGUGUAGCGGGGAAAGGCGUAGAGAUUGGGAGGAACACCAGUGGCGAAGGCGACUUACUGGACUGUAACUGACGCUGAGGCGCGAAAGUGUGGGGAGCAAACAGGAUUAGAUACCCUGGUAGUCCACACUGUAAACGAUGAAUGCUAGGUGUAGGGGGUAUCGACCCCUUCUGUGCCGCAGUCAACACAAUAAGCAUUCCGCCUGGGGAGUACGGCCGCAAGGUUGAAACUCAAAGGAAUUGACGGGG